rnacentral:ncRNA from 1 species
AACGUUCACCUCGCUACAAAGUGAGGCGCAGUUCGACCCAAGCCAUGGAACGGGGACUUGGG